rnacentral:tRNA from 1 species
GGUCGUAUGGCCCAAUGGAUAAGGCGUCCGCCUACGGAGCGGAAGAUUCCAGGUUCGAUCCCUGGUACGAUCA